rnacentral:rRNA from 1 species
UACGUAGGGUGCGAGCGUUAAUCGGAAUUACUGGGCGUAAAGCGUGCGCAGGCGGCUUUGCAAGACAGAUGUGAAAUCCCCGGGCUCAACCUGGGAACUGCCUUUGUGACUGCAAGGCUAGAGUACGGCAGAGGGGGAUGGAAUUCCGCGUGUAGCAGUGAAAUGCGUAGAUAUGCGGAGGAACACCAAUGGCGAAGGCAAUCCCCUGGGCCUGUACUGACGCUCAUGCACGAAAGCGUGGGGAGCAAACAGG